rnacentral:lncRNA from 13 species
UGAAAUUAGCAAACCUCUAAGCAUGCCUUCAUUUUUCCAGUUAUCAGCCCUUAUUUUGAAGCUACCUACAGACUGCCAGCCAUCAGUCAAUCAAUAGUACACAAAAAGAUAUCACUUUGGAGAUUCUAAGGAUUUUAGGAUAUAUUUGGAUUAUUGUCCUAAUGAUGGCACAGAAGAAGGGGCAAGAAAACUCAGCAACUCUACAGAACUUUUGGUCAGCCAAGCAUGCUACUGCACAUCCCACUGAUGCACAUAUUGAUAUCAUGCCAGUUGGACCUGGAGAGCGAAGAGUAGCAAGUGCUCUGGAUGCCUGGAGAAAAUACAGAAGUGCCAGAAUACAACUGACCCUCCAAAUGGGCUGCAUGAGUAUUUCUGCUUGGAUAUCUCCUGAAGAUUUUUACUGUUUUCAGCUUCCUCCACCCACUUCUGCAGCAAAGGCCACAGCUUAUAUAUGCUCCAAGCUAAGCUGCAGAGCCUCAAAGUAGCAGAUGGUCAUUUGGCUGAACACCUUCCCAAACAGAACCUGCAGGGAGCUGAAGAAAAUGAAUUGUCCAGAAGGCAGACCACCAAAAAGAAAGAGACAAGAAAGAGCGAACCUGGGUAAUUCAUAAGCUGAAAGAUCAGAGGUAGGAAAACCAAGAAACAAAACAGAUGAACAAUAUAUAGCUUUCCAUUUUAUCUUCUUU